rnacentral:rRNA from 1 species
CCCCUAGACGUUCUGGGCUGCACGCGCGCUACAAUAAUACGCACAGCGAGUAUCACCGAGCUCGAAAGGGCAAGGUAAACAAUAGAAAAGGUACUGUAAUGGUUAUAGAUCCUUGUAAUUAUUGAUCUUCAACGAGAAAUUCCUAGUAAGUAUGUGUCAUCAUCACGCACUGAUUACGUCCCUGCCCUUUGUACACACCGCCCGUCGCUCCUACCGAUUGGGUGAGCCGAUGAAACUCUCGGAUGUAGGCUAUUCAUAGCCCGCAGAAGAGAUUUGAAUCGUAGCGCUUAGAGGAAGGAGAAGUCGUAACA